GUGUCAGCCGCCGCGGUAAUACGGAGGGUGCAAGCAUUAAUCGGAUUUAUUGGGCGUAAAGGGCGCGUAGGCGGAUGAAAAAGUCAGUUGUGAAAUUCCGGUGCUCAACACCGGAGCUGCAACUGAAACUCUUUAUCUUGAGGAUAGGCGGAGAAAACGGAAUUCCACGUGUAGCGGUGAAAUGCGUAGAUAUGUGGAAGAACACCGGUGGCGAAGGCGGUUUUCUAGCUUAUUCCUGACGCUGAGGCGCGAGAGCAUGGGGAGCAAACAGGAUUAGAUACCCUGGUAGUCCAUGCCGUAAACUAUGCAUACUUGGUGUAGCCGGGCUCAACCCUGGCUGUGCCGGAGCUAACGUGUUAAGUAUGCCGCCUGGGGAGUACACUCGCAAGGGUGAAACUUAAAUGAAUUGACGGGG
rnacentral:rRNA from 1 species